AAGAUUAUGGUGCCCAUGCUUGAUAGUCCGUAUCAGUUGUAGAAUAAUCUCGGCAAAGCUGGAGCCAUCAUUGAUAUGUCAUCUCAGAUAAAGUUUGCCAAAUGGGUCUGUAUUCAGCAAAAAACAAACCAGCUCGGGCUGUGUUUUUUACCUAAUUCUUUUUCAGCAGGCUGAACAAUUAUUGAUUUUUCCAGAAGAUGAAACUUUAAGACUUCAAUAAACCUCUCUGGAAUCACUGAAGGAACUCAGUCAUGAAUGUUGCUUUGACCAAGGACUUCACUAAACAACACAAAUCACUGGAAUGGGCUUGUACAAUUUAUGACUAUUUCAUGAACUAUUUCUUGUACAAUUUAUGACUAUUUCAUGAACUAUUUCUUUGCCCAUUUCAUGAUGGUCACUGAUUCCAGUCUGAUUGAAUACUUGAAGACAGAUGCUGUCGAGCCUGCGGAGCAUUUCCACCAAUUUCUCCUGUUUCUUGGCUAAAGGAAUUAUCCAGAGGGUUUGCAUGCAAGUUCAAACUGGCCUAACUGCUGCCUGGAGAAUACAAUCUGUCAAACCUCCAGCAUAUUAAUUCAAGAAAAUGCAUUCUGUGGAUAUGUACAAAGAGGUCUCCAAACCAUUAGAACCUUAUGGUCAAGAUCUGAAGCUAAUUUAGCUCAGCAUUUAUUAUCCAUUCCUAUUUUACCCGGUGGAGUCGGUGAUGAUUCACUUUCCGGAGCAGCAGCACUCAUUCCGGUGAAGGUACACCUACUAAUGAUAGAGGAUCACCACAUCAAUGAUUCAGAUAUAAUCAUAAGCGUAGAAUUCCCAUUUAUGAAUAACUCCUAAAGCAAUCCUCUUGGGCCCCUGCGUGUAACAGUGACAAUGCAAACGUUCUUUGUGACCUUGGACCUAUAUGAUGGUGCCCGAGUGUGGUGGCUCUUGGCGUGCCGAUCGCAGAAGAAGAUCUACUUUCAUCCAUUCAAGCCAUUUCCUUUUCUUUAAUUGAAUGUUGCAUUUGUUACUUCAUUACCCACUCAUUCUACAAUAAUAAAUGAAGACUAGAAAUUGCAUCCAUUUGCACAAUGUUCACCAAGAGCUUUACGUCGUCUUAAAACAGAGGCGAUGCAAUAAGACAAAGAGCGACCUUCGUGAGACUGAAUCAGCUGCAAGAAUCGCGAUUUUGGACAGACAAUGUUUUGGCCACUUCAGACACUUCCAGGGACCCGACCUGAAAUAUCAUCUGUCCAUUCCGUCCACAGAUGCUGCCUGACCUGCCGAGUUCCUACAGCACUUUGUGUUUUACUCAGGAUUGCAGUAUUUGCAGUUCCUUAUGUCAACAUUGCUAUUUUGUACUUUUUAUGCUCUUCAUCAUCUGUAAUUUUAAAGUAAGGAUAUUGCCCUCAUCAUGGUAAUGACAAGAACAUUUAAUAGUAAACUAGUCCUGUGACUAUACCAAAUAUAAAUAUAAUUAAUUAGUUCACGUUAGCAGAAAAAGGGAAUAAUUCUAUCGAACAAAGAAGUUGUAUUUGAAUAUCUGACACUUCAACAGCUUGGGUGCUGUCUUUGCGGAGUUUGCCAUUCUCCAGGUGCUCCGGUUUCCUCUCACAUCUCAAAGACGUGCGGGUUUGUAAGUUAAUUGGGCUUUGAAGAAAAUUGCCCCUAGUGGGAACAAAAGUGGGAUAACAUGGAACUAUCUAGAACACUGAAGAAGGGUCCAAAUCUGAGGAAGGACAUUAUUUCCAUAGAGGGAGUGCAGAGAAGGUUCACCAGACUGAUUCCUGGGAUGUCAGGACUGUCUUAUGAAGAAAGACUGGAUAGACUUGGUUUAUACUCUCUAGAAUUUAGGAGAUUGAGAGGGGAUCUUAUAGAAACUUACAAAAUUCUUAAGGGGUUGGACAGGCUAGAUGCAGGAAGAUUGUUCCCGAUGUUGGGGAAGUCCAGGACAAGGGGUCACAGCUUAUGGAUAAGGGGGAAAUCCUUUAAAACCGAGAUGAGAAGAACUUUUUUCACACAGAGAGUGGUGAAUCUCUGGAACUCUCUGUCACAGAGGGCAGUCGAGGCCAGUUAAUUGGCUAUAUUUAAGAGGGAGUUAGAUGUGGCCCUUGUGGCUAAGGGGAUCAGAGGGUAUGGAGAGAAGGCAGGUACGGGAUACUGAGUUGGAUGAUCAGCCAUGAUCAUAUUGAAUGGCGGUGCAGGCUCGAAGGGCCGAAUGGCCUACUCCUGCACCUAAUUUCUAUGUUUCUAUGUUUCUAUGAAACGUCACCCAUUCCUUCUCUCCAGAGAUGCUGCCUGUCCCGCUGAGUUACUCCAGCUUUUUUUGUCUAGUCUAUCUUCGGUUUAAACCAGCAUCUGCGGUUCCUUCUUACACAUAUCUAGAACAUAGAACGGCUGACUGAUGGUCAGCUGGGACUUGAUGGACCAAAGGGCCCGUUUCCAUUCUGUAUCUCUAAACUAAACUGUAGAUUGGUUAUAUCCUACUAGCCAAUUGUAGUGCUUGUAGUAGUUACUCCGCCCAAUAUUCGUUUUAUAUUAGGAAGAGUUUGUCUACUCAAUUCAGUGAGUAGCUGCUAGGAACUGUUAUGUCCUGUAGACUGAUUCUGUAAGUACAUUUAAUAAACAUGUGUU